rnacentral:tmRNA from 1 species
GGGGGCGUACCGGUUUCGACGGAAGCAUUUGUGCUUAGGAGGCAUGCCGGGGGACCACACCACCCGCAAUCGGCGUGGAACAACACAACUGCCAAUGCGCAGUAUGCUUACGCUGCCUAAUUAAAGGCGGCGCGUCUCCUCCGCUCAGCCCGUGGGGCGGAAAGGGAUGUCAUCAUAGCGGGCUGGCCCGGAGCUAGCUGCCUGGGGGCUUGGGGCGAGAGGCCGUUCGUCGUUUGACGGGCGGUUAUCAGGCUAGCCGGCGCCCCGUUAUUGCGCGCUCCUGAGGGACGCUGGCGAAAUCAGUAGCGAACGCGCUACGCAUGUAGUCUCCUGACCGCAGGGCUUUUCGGACGGGGGUUCGACUCCCCCCGCCUCCAACU